rnacentral:rRNA from 1 species
CGAAGGGGCAACGUGCUCGGAUUACUGGCGUAAAGGAGCGUAGCGGACUGUUAAGUCAGAGGUGAAAGCCAGGCUCAACCUUGGAAUGCCUUUGAUACUUGCAGUCUUGAGUACGAAGAGGUAUGUGGACUCCGAGUGUAGAGGUGAAAUCGUAGAUAUUCGGAAGACACCAGUGCGAAGCGACAUACUGUUCCGUUACUGCGCUGAGCUCGAAAGCGUGGGGAGCAAACAGGAUUAGAUACCCUGGUAGUCCACGCUGUAAACGAUGAGUGCUAGUUGUCGGCAGCAUGCUGUCGGUGACCCACAUAACGCAUUAAGCACUCCGCCUGGGGAGUACGGUCGCAAGAUUAAAACUCAAAGGAAUUGACGG